GUGCCAGCAGCCGCGGUAAGACGAACCGUGCGAACGUUGUUCGGAAUCACUGGGCUUAAAGGGCGCGUAGGCGGUUUCUCAAGUCCGGGGUGAAAGCUUUCGGCUUAACCGGAAAAGGGCCUUGGAUACUGAGAAGCUGGAGGGAGGUAGGGGCCGUUGGAACUUCCAGUGGAGCGGUGAAAUGCGUUGAUAUUGGAAGGAACUCCGGUGGCGAAAGCGAACGGCUGGAUCUCUUCUGACGCUGAGGCGCGAAAGCUAGGGGAGCAAACGGGAUUAGAUACCCCCGUAGUCC
rnacentral:rRNA from 1 species